rnacentral:lncRNA from 1 species
AAUAUAUUAAGAAGGAGUACCAUCGACAGAGGAUCAAAGGUACAGACCUCCUCGCCGCGAUCGUCAUAUCUCACCAGUUACGUAACCGUAAUUAACAAUAGAUAAGCUGUAAUCGGUAACCGCGCAUGCGCCAGUAUCUGUCAACAACCAAGCCACAACAAAUCACUCGGGGCAACAAGAAGCCAAGUUACGACUUUCGAGAUCGUGCUGAAAAUAUGGAUGACAUGACUGAUGCUAUCGACUUUUAUGAAUUAUAAGAUGAGUUAGAGGAUGAAAUUCUCAAAGAAUUGGAGGCAGCAAAUGAACUAGAAGACCAAGAAAAUGGUCCACCCGCAGAAGAUGAAGCAAGUAUUGAUUCGAAUGCUGUUGCUGCUACACCUAUGGUUCUCAAGAACAAGAAUAAAAGAAAACAAU